rnacentral:pre_miRNA from 14 species
UUUUAAAUCAAGGAACGAAGUUUGCCCAACAAAAGCUCGUAAACAUGAGAAGUUGAAAGACCCCCGAAGGGAGCCCCCCACUCAAGUCUCGGGAAAGACGCGCACCCAGUAGGACACAGACACCG